rnacentral:rRNA from 1 species
UACGACUACAUAUCAGGCAUAUCAAUAAGCGGAGGAAAAGAAACUAACUAGGAUUCCCUCAGUAACGGCGAGUGAAGCGGGAAGAGCUCAAAUUUGAAAUCUUCAAGGUUUUACCUUGACGAAUUGUAGUUUAAAGAAGUGUUUUCUGUUGGUGUUUUGGUAAAAGUUCUUUGGAAUAGGACAUCAUAGAGGGUGAGAAUCCCGUAUUUGACCAUUACUUCCAGCGUUGUGAUACACUUUCAAAGAGUCGGAUUGUUUGGGAAUGCAGUCUAAAAUGGGUGGUAAAUUUCAUCUAAAGCUAAAUAUUGGCGAGAGACCGAUAGCGAACAAGUACCGUGAGGGAAAGAUGAAAAGAACUUUGAAAAGAGAGUUAAACAGUACGUGAAAUUGUCAAAAGGGAGGCGUUUGACACCAGUGUUGUUUUCUCGAAAAUCAAUUAAAAAGAGUUGGAUUUUGUAUUGUUAAGACCUUAUCAGCUUACUGUACUUUUUUCUUGCUCUUUUUGAUGCACUUUUCGUUCAACAAGUCAACAUCAAUUUCUUUUGUUGUAAAAGGGUCAUUGGAAGGUGGCUUUCACCUCGGUGAAAGUGUUUAUAGCCUUUGGCUUCUACAAUCGGAGAGAUUGAGGUCUGCAGCGUAGAUCCUUCGGGGUUAGAUACGUAGAUGCUAAGUUAUAGUUUUUUCAUAGACAACUUGUUGACUAUGAUUAAUCAUGUAGCUUACUCGUUUACGCUAUUUUACCUACGCUUAGGAUGUUGAAUCUGUGCGAGACUAC